UCUUGGACAACUGGGGGCAACCCUGAUCCAGCCAUGCCGCGUGAGUGAUGAAGGCCUUAGGGUCGUAAAGCUCUUUCGCCUGUGAAGAUAAUGACGGUACCUGGUAAAGAAACCCCGGCUAACUCCGUGCCAGCAGCCGCGGUAAUACGGAGGGGGUUAGCGUUGUUCGGAAUUACUGGGCGUAAAGCGCACGUAGGCGGACUGGAAAGUUGGGGGUGAAAUCCCAGGGCUCAACCCUGGAACUGCCUCCAAAACUGUCAGUCUAGAGUUCGAGAGAGGUGAGUGGAAUUCCGAGUGUAGAGGUGAAAUUCGUAGAUAUUCGGAGGAACACCAGUGGCGAAGGCGGCUCACUGGCUCGAUACUGACGCUGAGGUGCGAAAGUGUGGGGAGCAAACAGGAUUAGAAC
rnacentral:rRNA from 1 species